UCCCUGGUGGUCCAGUGGCUAAGAUUUUGUGCUUCCAAUGCAGGAAGCCCGGGUUCAAUCCCUGGUCAGGGAA
rfam:Ovis aries breed Texel chromosome 13, whole genome shotgun sequence.